rnacentral:rRNA from 1 species
UACGUAGGGGGCAAGCGUUGUCCGGAAUCAUUGGGCGUAAAGAGCGUGUAGGCGGCCCGAUAAGUCCGCUGUGAAAGUCCAGGGCUCAACCCUGGGAUGCCGGUGGAUACUGUCGGGCUCGAGUCCGGAAGAGGAGUGUGGAAUGCCUGGUGUAGUGGUGAAAUGCGUAGAGAUCAGGCGGAACACCCGUAGCGAAGGCGGCCAGCUGGGCCGUCCCUGACACUGAGGCGCGAAGGCGUGGGGAGCGAACGGG